UACGUAGGGUGCAAGCGUUGUCCGGAAUUAUUGGGCGUAAAGAGCUCGUAGGCGGUUUGUUGCGUCGGCUGUGAAAUCCCGAGGCUCAACCUCGGGUCUGCAGUCGAUACGAGCAAACUAGAGUGUUGCAGGGGGAGACUGGAAUUCCUGGUGUAGCGGUGAAAUGCGCAGAUAUCAGGAGGAACACCGGUGGCGAAGGCGGGUCUCUGGGCAACAACUGA
rnacentral:rRNA from 1 species